GACUGCUUUUGUUUUGCUGGGGAGGGGAUUGGAUGGGGUUGACCGAGAUAGGCGAAAACGGCGGAGGGAAGGGGGGCUCCUCGCCGGUGAUUAGAGGCAGGACCGGCUGGGCAAAGAUGGCGCGCGGCGAGCCUCCCGCAAGCAGCGCUUGUAGGCGGGAUGCGUGCUUCACUGGGACGGUUGUAGGGGGAGAGAUGUAGGUCCGGAGAGGAGCUCGGCGGACCUCUCCCGUCGUGCUCGCCAUCAGCAAGCGCACGUCGGUGGCGGAGCUUAUAGUCGCCGGUGCAGGUCAGGUGAAAGGUAUUUCGUCUCCCUACUGCCCUUCCUUUGUCCAAUUUUUUCCCUACGUGUUCUAUCUCCUUGCGGCCGAUUUCAGUUCAUUGUCUUGGUCGCUGGUCACAGAUCUACGUCGCAGGGGGUGGUUUAGUUCGUGGUCCAAGAUAGGGAGGAUUGUUUUGUUUAUCUGCUGGGCGGCGCUAGCAAUUUCAUGUGUUAGUGUGGUGUCACAGACUCAUGCUCCGGAGGGUGUGGUGUCACAGACUCAUGCUCCGGAGGGUGUGGUGUCACAGACUGAUGCGCUUUCAGUAGUUCAGCGGAAAAGAAAUGGAAAGUCACUUUUUGUCAAGUUUUGAGUUUAUUUAUAUCCUUAGGGAAAAUCUGCCACUAGUACUAGUUUUUACACAUGUGCUCUUUUGUAAAGAAAUGGUAAUUCACAUUCAGUCAUGUUUUGAGUUGUCAACAUUUCCUAGGUAAAAUCUUUUUUCAGUUUUUCUUCUCAGUAUUUCAACCAAUUAAGAUGUUUAUGUCAUUUCAAAGUUUCAGCUUUUUAUGCUUUUUUCCCCUACAAUUUUCAGUAUGCAGGGGGAGGGGUUGGGGGGAGGGGCGUACCUUAGUUGACCCCUCACACGGUGGCUCCAAGUCGUCAUGAUGUGGAUCGCUAGGAGCAUCACACCCAGCUUAGUUGGGUAUUUCUAUAGUUCUUAGUCUCCAUGUGUUUUCAAUUUUUCUCCCAGUGUUGGUUUAGUUUGAAUUCUCAGUUUCACACUUCUUACUAUCAUUCUUAGAAUUUUAGGAUCAGUUUUUACAAUUUUAGUCCUUAGUCCUCUGUACAAGUGUCAGACCUUCAGUUAAAUUGUUCGAUGUUCAUUAUUUCAUUUUCAGUGUUAGUAUUCAUUUUUUAGUACAAGUGCUCAGUCGGUUAUCAGACCUUCAGUUAAAUUGUUGAAUGUUCAUUAUUUCAUUUUCAGUGUUAUUAUUCAUUUUUUAGUAUAAGUGCUCAGUCGGUUAUCAGACCUUCAGUUUUUUAGCAUUUCUCCAUUGUUUAGUAUAAGUGUUCAGACCUUCAUUGUUUUAUUUUUAUUAUCAUUUCAGUUAAUUAGUUUGUUUUUCUUAUUUCUUCAUUUUAUCAUUCAGGGACCUUAGUUUCUUUCAUCAGUGAUGGUUAGGUAGGUUAGUUAUCAUAGGAAGUUCAGUUCCGUCAGUUAUCAUAUCAUUGUUUCUCUUACUUUUGUUUUUCUGAGUCUUCGCAUUCUUCAUUCAUAUCAAAUUAUUAUUUUUUCAGUCAUUUCUCAGUCUUGUGUUUCUGUUAUCAGUGUCUCAUUUCUCUUGUCAUUCAAAUUUUCUUUGUGUGCUAGUUGUUUUCAGUCUUGAGACGUUGUAUGGGUGGAAUUAGUCCUUCAUUUUUUGUUUUCCACUCUUACUAAUUUUUUUUAGUUAUCUUUGCCUUUCAUCCCUUAGUCUUCAGUUAUCAUUCCAGCCGUAUAUUUAAUUAUUCUUCAGUUCCAACCGUGUUCAUUAUCUUGAUACUGAUCAUUCUUUUGUUGUUAGAUAACUAAUCUUUAGUGCAACCCCUUCAGUCCCUUUUUAGUCAUUCUUUCUUUUGGUGAAGUAAAAAUGACAUGAUCAACUUUUUCUAUGACCUUAGUUUGUCCCCAGUCAUCUUCAUCAUAACUUUUCUAUUCUUUAAACAUUUGAUUUAGCAUCAGUUUUGUCUAUGACCUUAGUUUUGCCAUCUUCAUUAUUCUAUCUACACAACUUGCUCAUUUUUUAUUUCUUCCUGCUUUUUGGUUAGUUUCAGAAGUGAUAUUAGCUGCCAAGUUGCCAUCCUGUAGAUGCCCUUUUCUUUUGUUGUCCUUUAUCAGUAUCUGUGUUCUUAUGAUUAACACAAUAUCUUGUCUGAUAACCAAAAAUAGGUGGAACAUAAAUAGGAAUUUUAAUUUACAUCACUUGUAAUAUAUGAGAGCAAAGCAUGCCUUCUCUUAGGUAUUCACUAACAUUCUCAUUUCCAUUUGAUUCACUUCAUUAACAUUUUCAGCCUUGUGUUUAUUUUUAUCUUUUGACCAUGCAUCUAGCAUUCUGCAGUUUUGCAUGGGCAGACAUAGGUAGUAAUACAACAUCUAGCAUUGCAUUUUGCAUAAUUCUGAAAUUUUGUGUCUUCUAUUUUUCUUUUCCUUUUUACUUCUCUAUUUUUUUGGACGGAUGACAAACAACUAUAAAUUACCUUUUAAGGUAGCUUCCAGCUUGAUGACCACCCCGACGGCAGGCAUGACUGGACUACACCUUGUGGGAGUGAUUUAAGCACCGCAGCAUACAAGACAGUAGCAGAUGGUCGUUUCGCUUUCAACAAGGAUGGCCGGGAGGAAAUCCUGGAGGAGAACUACCUAGCGGUUGGGAGAGCGGCGGUAAUCACCAUCAGGAACAACGCACUGGACGAAUUGAACAUGAUGGUUGUCUUGAACCAGAUCGAAUUAUGAGAUUGUCGGGGAAUAAAGGUUGUUUUGAGUUACUGCAGUUUGUUAUGCUGUCAGUUAUCCGUGUCCCGCCGGCCAACUGACGAACUGUGAUUUGUUUUUUUUAUCAGUGGUAUGCACCGUCAAGGACUAUGUAAUAUAGUCUGAAAACUUCUUAUGCCUUUUUGUGUGGCACUUGAUUAUUAAGUGAUUAGUAACCAUAUUUCUCUCUUUUAUUUUAUUUUUAAGUUCUUAGUCACUUCUCUUCUGCUAUGGCCAUAGUUUGUAUUUCUUUUAGAGUUUUGGACAGAGCAUUUUCAAUGUUUGGGGAGUACCCUUUGAAUUCUCUGAAAUUCAGUAAUUUGAGUUGAGAUAAUUUAUCAAUGUUGUUCAUUCUAUAAGUUUUAGCCUGCUCAACAAGCAGACUUUCAAGC
rnacentral:rRNA from 1 species